ACGGAAGGCAGCAGUGGGGAAUAUUGCACAAUGGGGGAAACCCUGAUGCAGCGACGCCGCGUGAGCGAAGAAGUAUUUCGGUAUGUAAAGCUCUAUCAGCAGGGAAGAAAAUGACGGUACCUGACUAAGAAGCUCCGGCUAAAUACGUGCCAGCAGCCGCGGUAAUACGUAUGGAGCAAGCGUUAUCCGGAUUUACUGGGUGUAAAGGGAGCGUAGACGGAACAGCAAGUCUGAUGUGAAAGGCGGGGGCUCAACUCCUGGACUGCAUUGGAAACUGUUGAUCUUGAGUGUCGGAGAGGUAAGCGGAAUUCCUAGUGUAGCGGUGAAAUGCGUAGAUAUUAGGAGGAACACCAGUGGCGAAGGCGGCUUACUGGACGAUCACUGACGUUGAGGCUCGAAAGCGUGGGGAGCAAACAGGAUUAGAUACCCUGGUA
rnacentral:rRNA from 1 species